AGUGAACGCUGGCGGUAGGCCUAACACAUGCAAGUCGAACGGCAGCACAGGAGAGCUUGCUCUCUGGGUGGCGAGUGGCGGACGGGUGAGGAAUACAUCGGAAUCUACUUUUUCGUGGGGGAUAACGUAGGGAAACUUUCGCUAAUACCGCAUACGACCUACGGGUGAAAGCAGGGGACCUUCGGGCCUUGCGCGAUUGAAUGAGCCGAUGUCGGAUUAGCUAGUUGGCGGGGUAAAGGCCCACCAAGGCGACGAUCCGUAGCUGGUCUGAGAGGAUGAUCAGCCACACUGGAACUGAGACACGGUCCAGACUCCUACGGGAGGCAGCAGUGGGGAAUAUUGGACAAUGGGCGCAAGCCUGAUCCAGCCAUACCGCGUGGGUGAAGAAGGCCUUCGGGUUGUAAAGCCCUUUUGUUGGGAAAGAAAUCCAUCUGGUUAAUACCCGGGUGGGAUGACGGUACCCAAAGAAUAAGCACCGGCUAACUUCGUGCCAGCAGCCGCCGUAA
rnacentral:rRNA from 1 species